AUGGCCACGCCAAUCACUAAAUUUGCUACCGAGACCACCAGAUUUAUGGAUGCAGCGUCGGCGACCACGGCAGCCGACGACCUCCAACAGGAGCCGCCGCCAGCAUAUAUCCUGCCACCGUACUUACAAAGGAUGCAGCCUGCGACGCCUCCGGCUCUCCGCUCUGCUGAACAGGAUGAACCUGCGCCGCCUGAACAACUUGAGCUCCGGCCGCCUGCCCGGCCUGCAUCUAUCUGGCCCCGAUUUGUCCCACUGGAUGUGGUGGUACUCCAACGGUUGCAAGAUGCACCGCGUAGCCUUCUUCCCAUCUGA
rnacentral:rRNA from 1 species